AACAACCUACGGGGCGCAGCAGUAGGGAAUCUUCCACAAUGGACGAAAGUCUGAUGGAGCAACGCCGCGUGAGUGAAGAAGGGUUUCGGCUCGUAAAGCUCUGUUGGUAGUGAAGAAAGAUAGAGGCAGUAACUGGCCUCUAUUUGACGGUAAUUACUUAGAAAGUCACGGCUAACUACGUGCCAGCAGCCGCGGUAAUACGUAGGUGGCAAGCGUUGUCCGGACUUAUUGGGGGUAAAGCGAG
rnacentral:rRNA from 1 species